CAUAUCAAUAAGCGGAGGAAAAGAAACCAACAGGGAUUGCCUCAGUAACGGCGAGUGAAGCGGCAACAGCUCAAAUUUGAAAUCUGGCCCCUCCGGGGUCCGAGUUGUAAUUUGAAGAGGGUGUUUCGGGUGAGGCACCGGCCUAAGUCCCUUGGAACAGGGCGUCAUAGAGGGUGAGAAUCCCGUCUGCGGCCGGUGACCGAGUCCAUGUGAAACCCCUUCGACGAGUCGAGUUGUUUGGGAAUGCAGCUCUAAAUGGGUGGUAUAUUUCAUCUAAAGCUAAAUACCGGCCAGAGACCGAUAGCGCACAAGUAGAGUGAUCGAAAGAUGAAAAGCACUUUGGAAAGAGAGUUAAAAAGUACGUGAAAUUGUUGAAAGGGAAGCGCUUGCCACCAGACCUGUCGUCGGGUGAUCAGCCGUCGUUCUCGACGGUGCACUCGCCCGUUCGCAGGCCAGCAUCGGUUCGGGCGGUCGGAUAAAGGCCCCGGGAAUGUAGCUUCCUCCGGGGAGUCUUAUAGCCCGGGGUGCAAUGCGGCCAGCCGGGACCGAGGACCGCGCUUCGGCAAGGAUGCUGGCGUAAUGGUUGCAAAGCGGCCGUCUUGAAACACGGACCAAGGAGUCUAACAUCUAUGCCGAGUGUUUGGGUGUCAAACCCGUGCGCGGAAUGAAAGUGAACGGAGGUGGGAACCCCUUGAGGGCGCACCAUCGACCGAUCCAGAUGUCUUCGGAUGGAUUUGAGUAAGAGCAUAGCUGUUGGGACCCGAAAGAUGGUGAACUAUGCCUGAAUAGGGUGAAGCCAGAGGAAACUCUGGUGGAGGCUCGCAGCGGUUCUGACGUGCAAAUCGAUCGUCAAAUUUGGGUAUAGGGGCGAAAGACUAAUCGAACCAUCUAGUAGCUGGUUCCUGUCGAAGUUUCCCUCAGGAUAGCAGUAACGUUUUCAGUUUUAUGAGGUAAAGCGAAUGAUUAGAGUCCUUGGGGAUGAAACAUCCUUAAACUAUUCUCAAACUUUAAAUAUGUAAGAAGUCCUUGUUACUUAGUUGAACGUGGACAUUUGAAUGCACCGUUACUAGUGGGCCAUUUUUGGUAAGCAGAACUGGCGAUGCGGGAUGAACCGAACGUGGGGUUAAGGUGCCGGAAUGCACGCUCAUCAGACACCACACACGGUGUUAAUUCAUCCAGACAGCAGGACGGUGGCCAUGGAAGUCGGAACCCGCUAAGGAGUGUGUAACAACUCACCUGCCGAAUGAAUUAGCCCUGAAAAUGGAUGGCGCUCAAGCGUGCUACCUAUACCCCGCCGCCAGGGUAGAAACGAUGCCCUGGCGAGUAGGCAGGCGUGGGGGUCGNUGACGAAGCCUUGCGAGUGAACC
rnacentral:rRNA from 1 species